GUGGGGAAUAUUGGACAAUGGGCGAAAGCCUGAUCCAGCCAUGCCGCGUGUGUGAAGAAGGUCUUCGGAUUGUAAAGCACUUUAAGUUGGGAGGAAGGGCAGUAAGUUAAUACCUUGCUGUUUUGACGUUACCGACAGAAUAAGCACCGGCUAACUUCGUGCCAGCAGCCGCGGUAAUACGAAGGGUGCAAGCGUUAAUCGGAAUUACUGGGCGUAAAGCGCGCGUAGGUGGUUCAGCAAGUUGGAGGUGAAAUCCCCGGGCUCAACCUGGGAACUGCCUCCAAAACUACUGGGGUAGAGUACGGUAGAGGGUAGUGGAAUUUCCUGUGUAGCGGUGAAAUGCGUAGAUAUAGGAAGGAACACCAGUGGCGAAGGCGACUACCUGGACUGAUACUGACACUGAGGUGCGAAAGCGUGGGGAGCAAACAGGAUUAGAAACCCGAGUAGUCC
rnacentral:rRNA from 1 species